rnacentral:rRNA from 1 species
GGCUUCAUGGCUCAGGACGAACGCUGGCGGUGUGCUUCAUACAUGCAAGUCGAACGAUAAGGCGUCUUCGGACGUACAUAAGUGGCGGACGGGUGAGUAACACGUAGGGAAUCUGCCUCAAGGAGGGGGACAACAGCUGGAAACGGCUGCUAAUACCCCAUAUGAGCUAAGUUGAAAUACUUAUCUUGAAAACUCCGGUGCCUUGAGAUGAGCCUGCGUCUGAUUAGCUUGUUGGUGGGGUAAAGGCCUACCAAGGCGAUGAUCAGUAGCUGGUUUGAGAGGAUGAUCAGCCACAAUGGGACUGAGACACGGCCCAUACUCCUACGGGAGGCAGCAGUAGGGAAUUUUGCGCAAUGGGGGAAACCCUGACGCAGCAACACCGCGUGAACGAUGAAGCCCUUUGGGGUGUAAAGUUCUGUCAGUGGGGACGAAUCAAUGACGGUACCCACAGAGGAAGCACCGGCUAACUCCGUGCCAGCAGCCGCGGUAAGACGGAGGGUGCAAGCGUUGUCCGGAAUUAUUGGGCGUAAAGCGUUCGUAGGCGGCUUAUUAAGUCUGGUGUUAAAGACCGGGGCUCAACUCCGGACCAGCACUGGAUACUGGUAGGCUAGGGUGUGAUAGAGGCAAGGG